rnacentral:rRNA from 1 species
UACAGAGGGGGCGAACGUUGCUCGGAAUUACUGGGCGUAAAGCGCAUGUAGGCGGAUCCAUAAGUCGGGCGUGAAAUCCCCAGGCUCAACCUGGGAACUGCGCUCGAAACUGUGGGUCUUGAGUGUCGGAGAGGAUGGCGGAAUUCCUGGUGUAGAGGUGAAAUUCGUAGAUAUCAGGAGGAACACCAGUGGCGAAGGCGGCGACCUGGGCCAAUACUGACGCUGAGGUGCGAAAGCGUGGGGAGCAAACAGG